UCGGACGUGGUGUACGGUACACCGCGGGACUCUGUGGCUGAAAGCGAUCGAAAGCAGCCCGCAGGACGGGGUUCGACUCCCCGCGUCCGAA